rnacentral:tRNA from 1 species
GGGCCCGUGGUCGAAUGGUAAGACGUCACCCUUACACGGUGAAAACUCCCGGUUCGAUCCCGGGCGGGCCCA